rnacentral:rRNA from 1 species
AACGCGAAGAACCUUACCAAGGCUUGACAUAUAGCGAAAAGUGGCAGAGAUGUCAUGUCCGCAAGGGCGCUAUACAGGUGGUGCAUGGUUGUCGUCAGCUCGUGUCGUGAGAUGUUGGGUUAAGUCCCGCAACGAGCGCAACCCUCGUUCUGUGUUACCAGCAUUCAGUUGGGGACUCACAGGAGACUGCCGGGGUCAACUCGGAGGAAGGUGGGGAUGACGUCAAAUCAUCAUGCCCCUUUGUCUUGGGCUGCACGCAUGCUACAAUGGCCGGUACAAAGUGCUGCGAGAUCGUAAGAUUGAGCGAAUCACAUAAAGCCGGUCUCAGUUCGGAUUGAGGUCUGCAACUCGACCUCAUGAAGUCGGAGUUGCUAGUAAUCGUAGAUCAGCAACGCUACGGUGAAUACGUUCCCGGGUCUUGUACACACCG